GCCGCCCGCUACAGCCACCGCUCAGGGCGGGGCCGGGGCCGGAGAGUAAGACCUUCUUCGCGGAGAGGCGGCACGGGGAUAGGGCCGCCGCCGCUGCCCCGCCGGGCUCGCUGGGAUCUGGGACGGCCGGAAUGGGAUGUACCGACGACGGCUGCUGUGUCGGAAGAGAGCUUUACGUAACCCUGAGAGCCGCCCCCUUUCGGGCGGCUGCUGAUCUCCUGGUCAGCCCUCGUGCGGGGCGCAGCUGGGCUGCCUUGAAGCGCGCGGGCGUGAGCGCCACCUGUCGGCGAGUCCCGGCGUCACGGGCUGCCCGAAUGACUCAGGUGCGCGCUGGACUUUGGAGUCCGCCCCCGCCCGACUGUACAGCUCCUGGGUUUGGUGUGGUUGUGUUGGCUUUAAACCCCAGACGUGUCCUUUCCCACGUCUAACACGCUGCGCUGACGCACUCCCACGGGGCCCAUUCCACGCCGAGUAAAAGCCAAACCCAGCCAGGCGGUCCAGGCACAGCCCGUUCUGGCCUCGUUCCGCCUCCCUGCCCCCUUGGCCAGGCCCGCCUCUCCAUCCUAAGUCUAUCCUAAGUCUGUGGACACUGCCCUUGGCUCCCGAAGUCUCUAAUCCUUUUCCCCCGUGGGACAUCCCUCCGAUCCCCGACCCCAAAAUGCCGAGCGUGGAGACGACCCUCCCCGCAACAGGUACCUGCCCCUUGCCUGGACGUCCGUGGUUCUGACGCCCCCACCCCACCCCCUCCCCCGAAUUCGUUAUUUCACACUCGGAAGAAAUUCCCUAGGACCCGGUUUGUGGAGUUUGUGGUUACCUCCGAGAGGCAGGCAAACGAUGGCAGGAAGCCAGGCGCUCCCAGUGUUCAAUCCCAAGGGUUGGUUCUGAAAUCCGGCUUCCUGCUCCAGCUGAGAGCAGUCCCGAGACACUUCCUCUUGUCCAGUCGGACACACUUAGUUCCCUCAGUACUGGAUUCGCCUCUAUGGAACGGAGGGGACGCAGGGAACCCUUGCCUCUGGCCGCAGCGGGUCUCCUGGGCACCCCUCUGGUCACUUCGUCCCAGGCUCCUCCUCCUAUCCUGAGUUUUCUGAGCUUGGGUUUCCACAGAGGACUCGCACGUUAUUUCUCCAGCCCAGACCUCUCCACUGAGCUUUAGAUAAAUAUUUUCAUUUAGGGGAAAAUUCACAUGGAGCCAGCUUUGUGGUGUAGGCAGUAAUCCCACAUGGACGCCUGUUCCUGUCCUGAUUGCUUCACUCUGAUCCAGCUCCCUGCUAAUGCAUCUGGGAAAAGCAGUGGAAGAUGGCCCAAGUGUUUGAGCCCCUACCACCCUGUGUGGGAAACCUGGAAGAAGCUCCUGGCUUUGGCCUGGCCCAGCCCUAGCUGUUGCAGCCAUCUAGGGGUGAACCAGCAGAUGGAAGAUCUUUCUCUGUCUAACUUUCAAAUAAGUAAGUCGUUAAAAAAAAUCACACUAAAAUCCUAUCCUCAUCACACAUGAAGACCGAUUUAAAUUGAUCUGCUAUACGUCAGGGGGAAAAAAAAAAGUUUUCACAGCUGUGGCCAAGUCCCUCUGAAACGCCCAGGAGAAAAACCUGUCAUCUAUGACAAACAACAGCUUCUCCUGAUCCCAUUCACGCGGCUCCUCCUCUCUGGGGGGACCCCAGGAAGCCGUCUUCAUCCCAGCCUGCGAAGGCGCUGGGUUGAGUUUGCACAGCCCGGGGAGCUGGGAGACCUUCGUGCCUCCGCCUGUAGGAUCGAGCGCCCUCUGGUGGCCAGCGGAAAGAAUGCACGCAGCAAAGCCGAAAGUCACGCCCCUGGCAGAAUGGACAGUGAGAGAGAGAGAAACAGAGAGAAAGGUCUUCCUUUCUCUGUUGGUUCACCCUCCAAUGGCCGCCACAGCCGGCGCACUGCGGCCAGCGCACCGCGCUGAUCCGAUGGCAGAAGCCAGGUACUUAUCCUGGUCUCCCAUGGGGUGCAGGGCCCAAGCACUUGGGCCAUCCUCCACUGCACUCCUGGGCCACAGCAGAGAGCUGGCCUGGAAGAGGAGCAACCGGGACAGAAUCCGGCGCCCCGACCGGGACUAGAAUCCGGGGUGCCGGCGCCGCAGGCGGAGGAUUAGCCUAGUGAGCUGCGGCGCCAGCAAAAUAAAUAAAUCCUAAAACAAACAAACAAAAAAAACAAA